CGCGACUUGAGCUUGCUUCCCGGAAAGCCAGUGUAGUGGCAGCGGUUUGCCUCACAGCGCCCCUGGCAGCACUGAGAAGUGAAGGAAUAUUUGGGAGGAUCAGAAGCUUGGUCCUGAUUUUGCCAUCAACAGGAACUUGAUGACUUCAAGGGAGUCCCCAAACCCUGGGUUUCUGUUUUCUCAACUCUAACAUGAGGGGCUAGAUGCAUCUGGUUUAGUUAGUCUCCAUGAUGGUUUAGUUCGUCUCCAUGAUCCUGUGAAUUUCAGAUGUUGAAAAUCUUCGGAAAAGCCCUGAAAGAUGAACAGUGGUCUCAAA
rnacentral:lncRNA from 1 species